rnacentral:rRNA from 1 species
UACGUAGGGGGCAAGCGUUGUCCGGAUUUAUUGGGCGUAAAGAGCGUGUAGGCGGCCGCACAGGUCCGUUGUGAAACUGGAGGCUUACCUUCAGACGUCGGAUGGAAACCGGUGCGGCUAGAGUCCGGAAGAGGAGAGUGGAAUUCCUGGUGUAGCGGUGAAUGCGCAGAUAUCAGGAAGAACACCUGCGGCGAAGGCGGGUUGCUGGGCUGACACUGACGCUGAUGCGCGAAAGCCAGGGGAGCGAACGGG